AAUGCUGCUGUUUCAUCCAGUGCUACACCCUAGAAGUCUCAGAAGAUGCAUUUCUGUAAGUUGCUGUGGUCACUCUUAGUUCCCAUGUGUGCACAUACACAGACAUUCCCCAGCAUUUCUAGGUGAUGGGAUUCUUGUCAUAGAGUGCCAGUCUUCUUGAUAAAAAACUGUCAUUGAAUUAGGUAGUCUUUCAUUCUGGAAAAUCAUUAAAGUAUUUCACCUAUAAAGUUCUAAAAGUCCUUGUACAGGAUGAGGUUUGACACACACCCUCCCGUGUGUGUGUGUGUGUGUGUGUGUGUGUGUGUGUGUGUGAGAGAGAGAGAGAGAGAGAGAGAGAGAGAGAGAGAGAGAGAGAGGGCUCCUUGUGCAGUGUAGCCAGGUAGCAUUUAAAUUAUGAUGGAGUUGAGGUGCAGAAAGAACUUGACCGGCUAUACAUAGGCACUUGGUUUUAUUCAGACAGGGUCUUGAUUAAUUGACUGCUCAUGGUCAAAGCUCAGCUGGUGUGACUGCCUAAGACAUAGGUAUUGUUAAGUAUAUGUCCAAGCCAGGCUUUCAGGUUGUUUUCCUUCUAAUAAUUUAGAUUGCAAUUUAUUAAAUAAGGACUCGACCUAUAGAGGCAACCUCGGGCAAAUUUAAUUUAGUAAGAUAUAUUUAUACUAAAGCAAACUGGGAUAUUUGUAAUUCAAAUUUAACU
rnacentral:lncRNA from 1 species